AAAUUAUUAUGUUUGGUUUUUUGAUUGAAAUUUUGUUGAUGGUGUUUGUGGCUUAAGCAAUGCUUUUUGGGUUUUGUUUUUGAAGGUAUUGCAAAUGUGAAAUGCCAUAUAACCCAGAUGAUUUGAUGGUACAGUGUGAGGGGUGCAAGGACUGGUAUCAUCCUGCUUGUGUGAACAUGACCAUUGAACAAGCAAAAAUGUUAGAUCACUUCAUGUGUUCUGAUUGUUCAUCUGAUAAUGAUAUAAAAAAACCUCAGAAUACAUAUCCCUCCUCUCCGCUGACUAAUGGCAAGGUGAGUCUACGUUUUCCCCAAUUUGAAUGAUUGAAGUUGUAUGUGUUUCUUAGUUUGCUUCGAUUAGUUGGUUGUUACAUGAGUUAAUCUUGCCCACAGCUUUCUUGUCUUCUAGGCUGGUCUAUAGUCAUAACCUUUUUAAAAAAAUGCAAAUUGAUCGAUUGUAAUAACCUGGAGUUAUUUUUCUUUAAAUCAAAUUGUGAUCAAAUUCAUUUAUAAGACAAUGGGGAAGACUUUUUCUAGCUUUGUUUGAUGAAGAAGGAAUGAUGAAUUCUAAGAAGCAUAGACACAAAUACAGACACGGAUAUGUGGGUUGAUUGCUCACGUAUUUGCUAUGUAUAUAUGAAUAUAAUUUUAGGGCAUAGGGAUACAAGAUGCAUCAAUGUAUAUUUGGGUUUUUUUUUAUUUUAUUUUUUCAAUUUCCGCCCUUUUUGUUUUCGUAUAUUUUCCCUCGACACCAAAUCAACUUUCUAAAAUUAUAAAAAAGAAACUCAUAAAGGUGUCCUGAGACGUAUCCAAACACAGGAUACGAGUGUUUGUGAAAUAUCCCCAAAGUGUCCUACAAAAAAUAACAAUUAAAAAAAUUGAGACGUCACAUGACAUGUCCAACACGUGGACACGGACAGAGACACGGCACCCAUUUUGAAGUGUCAGCGCUUCAUAGACAGAACCCUCCCUAGGCGUGACCCAUAGCCAAAUGUGUUUACCAUUAGUUUCCUCCUCUUUCAAGAUUUAUAUUAUGGCUUAACUACUGAACUUCAGAGGAUUGCAGAUGCCCCUGUAAUUUCUGAACUGUAAAUGUGGCCUUACCUUUUAUAUCUCAUUGUUAUCUGAAGAUUUUGAGGUCAAAAGAGUACCAACUUUGUCACUUAUCCUCUUACAAAGCUCUGUUCUGUCUUGAACACAUGGCCCAUCUAUUCGUGAAGCAAACUUUCUGUUGUUUGCCUUCCUUUGCAAGUGGCCUAUGUUGAACAGUAUUCCAAUUUCUUGAUGUAGACCUGGUUUUGUUAUCUUUCCGAGUUCAGCCCCUUUGCAUUGAAGUAGUUUGAAUAAAAAAUAAACGAGUCUGACAACUGAAACUAACAGUACCAUGUGCAAUGCAAACCAAAUUAUGCAUGAAAAUUUUACUACAUUAUCACAACAUUGCAUUUGCAUUGCAACCGUAAAUGUACUGAUAUCCAGUUUCGUUGUCUUUGUUUUCAGUUCGUUGACGAUGAUAACAAAUGCUACUUGGAGAUCAACUACACGUUUGACAUCAAGAAGGAUUGGGCCACUCCUUAAAACAGCGGACUUGUAGACCAGCAUUAUCAUAUCUCAAAAUUCAUCUAUGUUCUUUGUACCAAAACCAGCUUAAUAUGUUUCUCCUUACAUAGAUUUAAUUAUAAUUCCCCAUUUAGUUUUCACCAAUUCAUUCCAGCAUGAUGCGAGAUUUUGUAAUGUUUCUUCUUCUUUAUUUCUUUUUUUGUUUUUUGAUUUUUCCUUUUUUUGGGUUUAAACUGUUUGUUGGGUAUUGUUAACAAUUAGAAUAGAAGGGUUGUCAGUCAGAAAGCAAUUCAGCUAA